UUAUUGCGUUAGGGAUAGUAGUGAAAAGCCCGCAGUGAGGAGUUUACGACGAGCGAGGACUUGUAACGUAUAGCCCGACCCGAA
rnacentral:sRNA from 1 species